GUGUUCAGGUGUGCGCGAGGUUCAACUUCCUUGGAGUCGUUCCACCUGCAUCUGGACCGCUUCAUACCUGGCCUAUCUGCUGGAAGGCCUGGCAUGGUGGAAUGAGGACCGUGCGGCACAAGCAGUGGAGGCAGCAGACCGUGAUAUGGUCUGCUACAGUGGCCAACUCCAGCACUCCGUCAACGAGCUGAGCGACGUUCUGUACCACAAGAAGGUGGUUGACGAUUACACCCGGCCUGCGAAGUACACUGGUGAGCUCAUUGGUAUCCAGUACCUAUUUUCGCAGACCGGUCGAGUGCUGGAGGAAGUGAUGGGCAGGGAUCCCGACGCUCCGGAUGGG